ACUAAGUGCAUCUCCAUCAGUGA
rnacentral:siRNA from 1 species